rnacentral:rRNA from 1 species
AGAGUUUGAUCAUGGCUCAGGAUGAACGCUAGCGGCAGGCCUAAUACAUGCAAGUCGAACGGGGCAGUUCAGCAAUGAACUGUUCAGUGGCGCACGGGUGCGUAACGCGUAUGCAACCUACCUUAAACUGGGGGAUAGCCCGGGGAAACCCGGAUUAAUACCGCAUAAGAUCACGAGAGGGCAUCUGAUUGUGAUUAAAGAUUUAUUGGUUUAAGAUGGGCAUGCGUGCCAUUAGCUAGUUGGUAGGGUAACGGCCUACCAAGGCUACGAUGGCUAGGGGUUCUGAGAGGAUGAUCCCUCACACUGGUACUGAGAUACGGACCAGACUCCUACGGGAGGCAGCAGUAGGGAAUAUUGGGCAAUGGACGGAAGUCUGACCCAGCCAUGCCGCGUGCAGGAUGAAGGCCUUCUGGGUUGUAAACUGCUUUUAUAUAGGAAGAAAACACCCAUGCGUGGGAAACUGACGGUACUAUAUGAAUAAGCACCGGCUAACUCCGUGCCAGCAGCCGCGGUAAUACGGAGGGUGCAAGCGUUGUCCGGAUUUAUUGGGUUUAAAGGGUGCGUAGGCGGCCUUGUAAGUCAGUGGUGAAAGCCUCCAGCUCAACUGGAGAACUGCCAUUGAUACUGCAAGGCUUGAGUACAGACGAGGUUGGCGGAAUUGAUUGUGUAGCGGUGAAAUGCAUAGAUACAAUCAAGAACUCCGAUUGCGUAGGCAGCUAACUAGGCUGUAACUGACGCUGAGGCACGAAAGCGUGGGGAGCGAACAGGAUUAGAUACCCUAGUAGUCC